GAGUCUGACUAGAGGAGGAGUGUAGAGCAGAGCUUUGCUCAGGACUCUUACAGUGGAGAUCAGUCUCCACAUGUACGGACACUCUGUAUGGCCCUGGUGCCCUGCACGCUUGGCUGUGAGGAUCACCACAGCCAUGGCCCCAACAGUGCCAGUCUUGGUUUAUUUCAACUCGGAGAGUGCUAGUCUCCCGGACUUAAUUAACCUUUCCAUAAUGCCUGUCUGGAGAUAAUCACAAAUAAGCAGACUUGGGAUGAGCACCAUUUAACAGGGUAAACCCUUUGAUGUGUGGAUCAUACUUGGCUAAGGUAACAAUUUGCUGGCGAGAGGACAAAUCUUGUCAACAGAAUCUAAUGGCUAAGGUGCACACACACAGAAGACCCAAGGUCGUGUAAACAAAAUACACUAUGGCACAAUUCAAAGUCUGUUUUCUCAAGAGUAUGUGUGAGCCUGGGCAAAUUAUCCCCGUGAGCGGAGUGUGAAACAAGAGACGUGCGAUAUCACAGCAGUGAGGAAAGGCGUGUCACCAAUACUUACUGGCAGGCUAUUAUGUUAGCCGCUGGUUUUCUUUCUCACUUUCUCCUGGUCAUCUCAUCAAUGGACCAGCUGGAGGGAUUCCUGGCAGAGUGAUUUGGAAUUAUAUCAUAAAAUCACAUUGCCAGGGAUUUCCAACCAGCUGUGAACUGUUUACUCCAUGAAAGUCUCAGUGAGUCGACCCCGCUUACACUCUGAUGGAUGAAGCCAUCAAAUCCAAAUCGAAGAGAACGGACCAAACCCUUUUUCCCACCAUGUCCCGAGGACUGAAUAAUCUACCCUCAGAAUGAACCAUAACUGAGGACUGAUACGCACUGAAAUAGAAAGCUCAUAUCUGUAGGUUCCACAUAUGUUUUGUUUUGCCACUUUUUGUUCAUUACAUAAACACUGGAUCUCGUCUUGUGGUUUUGGGAAACUGGAAACAUGAUACUAGGCUACUGUGCCAUACAGACAUAUGUGGUCCAACGUGCCAUACUGCUUUGUUAAAUAACUGGAUGUGUGAGGAAAAAUGUGUUAAUAGGUUCGUUAAGUAGAGGAUGUAGUGUUAUAUAUAUAUAUAUGAAUUUAUCUGAAAUAAAAAUAAACAGAUUCAAGAACACAUUGAGAAUUUUGAAUGUCUUAGACCUGAACAAUUUAACUGUUUAAUGAUGUAACCUAAUGUAUUCUGUUUUUUUCCCCC
ensembl:lncRNA